UGCUAUUCGCUUCACAAGUGUUUUCCCAGCACAUCUCUUGCACAUUUAGUCCUAUCUGGGCAUCUUCUCAGAGGACUCAAACCUUAGGACAGGAACCUAAGUAAUUCCUCUUUUGCAACUCCAAGUCUAUGUGGACUCUUAUUUUCUUUCUACUUUUCUACUUCCUUUCUGCUUUACUCUUUCACCCAACCCCUACCUAAUCUU
rnacentral:lncRNA from 1 species